AAUGCGUGUUCUAGCUACUCUCUCACUCAUCUCAUCAAACAUUAUCUUUCUCCCUCUCUCUCUAUUUUUCACGCACAACACACAUUACAUGAAACGACGUCGUGAAGAUACAAUCAUCAACAAUAUUUGAAGAAUCUCACAUGCACUAUAUAAACCUUCAUCACUCUAGACAGAUUGGCAUCAGUGUCGUUUAGAAGCUCUGGAAGAUUCUUCUCCGGCCGCCGCCGGCGUCGACGAUCUGGAGGUGAACCGCGUCGGAGAGGAGAUCGGUGAGCUGUUCCGGUGGCUUUCUGGGAUAUGAAAUCCUUGUUCGCAACACAAGAAUAAUCGCCUAGCUCGUCGCCGCCGAUCUCUAAGAGUGCUCAUCCAUAACACCUUCUCCAAAAAUCUCCUCCACCGCCGCGGCGGCAGCUGCCAAAAGAUGUCCGGAUCGGAAGAGAUCGGCAACAUCAAUCAAUCAUUCUGGGCACUUCUCACACAAGAAUAACAGUAAGAAAAGAAUAAUUGGUUGGUUUGUCGGAUUUUCCCUCACAAACAUAUAUCUCUUCCACACAUCAACAGAGAAAGCAUGAUUUCUUAUAAAGGAAAAUCAAUAAAAUUUCUUCUUUUUGUUUUAGUUUGUAUCUCUGUUUCAGGAGAUCAUGAUCCAAAAGUCAAAUGCAGUCCCAAAGAGCGAGAAGCUCUUCAGAGAUUCAAGAAUGAGCUCAUGGAUGAGGAUUCCAUUCUCUCUUCUUGGACAAGUGAUGAAUGCUGUCAUUGGUUUGGUGUUGUGUGUGGCAACACCACUGGGCAGUCUGGGCAUAUAAUCAAACUCGAACUUAAUGCUUGUCUUUACAGUGGUGUAUUGAGAGGUAAUAUUAGUUCUUCCUUACACAUGUUAAAGCACCUAACG